rnacentral:rRNA from 1 species
CCCUUAGAUGUCCUGGGCCGCACGCGCGCUACACUGACGGAGCCAGCGAGCUUACCCCUUUGCCGAAAGGCAUGGGAAAUCUUUUGAAUCUCCGUCGUGCUGGGGAUAGAUCAUUGCAAUUAUUGAUCUUGAACGAGGAAUUCCUAGUAAGCGCAAGUCAUCAACUUGCGUUGAUUACGUCCCUGCCCUUUGUACACACCGCCCGUCGCUACUGCCGAUUGAGUGGUCCGGUGAGGCUUUGGGAUCUGAGCGGAAAGAGCGUUUCGCUGUUUCUGCUCGGAAAACUCAGUCGAACCUUAUCAUUUAGAGGAAGGAGAAGUCGUAACA